UGGUGUCAUCUGCAUAUCUGAGGUUAUUGAUAUUUCUCCUGGCAAUCUUGAUUCCAGCUUGUGUUUCUUCCAGUCCAGCAUUUCUCAUGAUGUACUCUGCAUAGAAGUUAAAUAAGCAGGGUGACAGUAUACAGCCUUGACGUACUCUUUUUCCUAUUUGGAACCAGUCUGUUGUUCCAUGUUCAGUUCUAACUGUUGCUUCCUGACCUGCAUACAGAUUUCUCAAGAGGCAGGUCAGGUGGUCUGGUAUUCCCAUCUCUUUCAGAAUUUUCCACAGUUUAUUGUGAUCCACACAGUCAAAGGCUUUGGCAUAGGGGACUGGUUUUGUUGUAGAUAAUUUUUCCAUGGACCAAGAAAGAGGAGGAUAGGUUCAGGGAUGAUUCAAGAGCAUUCUGUUUAUUGUGUACUUUAUUUCUAUCAUUAUGACAUCAGCUUCACCUCAGAUCAUCAAGCAUAGAUCCCAGAGGUUGUGGACCCCUAGACUAGAUGGAUAAUAAGGAAGGAAAAAGAAAACAACACGUGUUCAAUAGUAAACAUGGUCACUACCUCCCUGUUCUUUACCCCCAUCCUAUCCUGGAGUUUAGGAAGGUGCUGAAAGGAGUAUACCUGCCAAAGUCAAACUUGAAAGAUUCACAAUUUGGCCUUUGGCUAGGACUGCUGUUUUCAUGUGAGAGUCAAGAAUAAACUGAAGUCAGAAGAAUGCCACUUUUUCAAGCCAAGAAAUUUUGGAAUCACUACCAGAGCAUAAUUCUAGAAAAUAAAAAUUUUCCUUUGCUGUCGCAUCUCUGUUGAUGCUUCAUGUUACAUAAUCACAUUAUGUAUGUGUGUGUGCAAGAAUGGUAGUGUAUGUAAGAAUGAGACAAAAUAUCCUAACCCGUCUCCUAUUACAGCUGCUUCCUUGAUUCUCUGACACAAGUUCCCAGACAAAGCCAUCUUAAUACUUCAGAUUUCAUCUAUAUGCCCAACCCUCUCUGAUUUUUCACUUUUAAAGAAACACCUAAAGCUUACUUGUGAUGUAAAUAACUUCUGUGUUUAUAGAGCAUCAACAAUGCAAUAUUUCAUCCAGUUCUAAAAAUCAACAAGUUAGAUGUUAUCAUUAAUUUUAUAAAUAAAAAGACUUUCAGGAAAACUACUUUAUUUAUGAUCUUACUGCUCUUAACUGGCAGAAACAAUAUUUGAGUGUAAGACUGUGGUUCCUGACAUUCGUUCUUCCUACAAAUUCUUAUGUGAGUGCUAAAAUCAGAAUUCUUGUUAAAGUUGUAUGGAGAACAGUAUAUACCUU
rnacentral:lncRNA from 1 species